CUCUCUCUUUUCCCACUCUCCCCCGACUCCCUCUCACUUCCUCCCGCCCCUCAUGCCGCUCGCGCCGCCGCAUCCCCUUCGAUCUUGCGUCACCGCAUCCCCGUGGAGCUCGCGCCGCAGCAUCCCCGUGGAGCUCGCACCGCCGCAUCCUCGUCGAGCUCACGCCGCCGCAUCCCCGUCGAGCUCGAGCGUCACGCCUCGGGGGGAGAGGAUGCCCACGCUGCUGUUCCCGGCAAAGCGCGCCGUCGCGCCAUCGACGGGAGGAGGUCAGGCGGAGCGUGUCGUAGCCCACGCUGUUGUUCCCGGCAGUGCCCACCGUCGCCAUCGACGGGAGGAGUCUAGGCGGAGCGUGCUGUCAUUGCCGCCACUCAUUCGUGCCUCCUCCUGCGUCUUCCCGUGCUCGCUCACCCCCCUUCCCAGCCGCCACUCGCCUCCCCCCUUCCCUGGACGCCUUGAGGUGCUGGCCGAGGUCGCCCGGGUCGAGAUUGAUGGCGGCUGGGCGUUCAAUCCGUGAUCCACAUGUCAGUGCUGCCACAACCUGGUUUUUCCCCAUCACGCCGCCUGGUGCAGCAUGUGUGCGGCAGCCGGGAUGGACGAUCACAUGCAGAGUUUGGCAGGCAAUACGUGCAUCAGACCAGUGGCUGAUGGCAAGAAGGAAUAGAAAACAACUUCACAUCUGCCACACAAUUAAUUCAUCUCACAUCAUUGGCUUAGUUCAGUCAGAGAUUGCCUCUAUAGAUAAUCUCCCAAUGCAUUAGUACAAUUCAUAUUGCAAGGGUGACAGGGCAGGACAGUACAAUGAGGGUCGAAUUAUAUCUUCACAGAUCAUUAGAUCUUUAGGUUCACGACACCGUCGUCCUCGCAUAGAGAAGAAAGCCACCCCAACCGCUUGCUCCUCAACGCUGGUCAAUUAUAAACAUCAGGCUGGUUUUAUCUGUUAUUUCUGUUCUUUCUCGAAGAGGUUGCCAUGCAUGGUUGAUGGAUUGAACUCCAAGGAUUUUGUUUAAUUUCUCUCUACCUUCAACACCAGCAAAAGAUUGAGUGUAAUGCUCGGUCAUGUUUGAAUUUAAAUAUGUCCUUUUCCAUUUUCAAACUGACUAUAUUAUUGAGUAUUGAUACUUUUGAUUUUGUUUUAUGAUUCAUGGCAACGUGAAAGUUACCAACGACCUGGUAGAGGUUCUUAUUUCUUACAAACCUGUAUUUGAGUGUGUAGUACCUUCACUUGCAAUUGCACUUCUCUAACAAUAACAUACAUGACUGUUUCCUUAGUUCUUCUUCAAAUUAUCGAUAUCCUUCCAUAAAAAACACAGCAGGUCAGCAUAAAUACUUCUCCGAAGGAGAACCAAGUCAAUGAGAUGACUUGGAAUCUCUUGGAUAUGUUAUUAUGCACUUCCUACAGGGUUUGUUGGUUUAUUUUCUGGAUUCUUAUUGUGUGCCACAUAAGAUAUAUUAAUGAAUCAGAUGUAACAUUGUUUUCUUUUGAGCUUUCCUUGGCAAGGUCUGAAAGCAAAGAAGCAAAAGCAUGCGGCCAUGCAGACUCUACAAGAGGCAUCUCGCCGAGGUGUGCCAGUACAGAAAGAUGGCCAUGUCGGUGGGGCGUAUGAUGCUUGUUUCAGAUGAUCACAACAAGUUGCUUGCUCUUAUCAGAGCUGAAAAAAGAAAUGUCCGUGGCACUUUGACUUUGAUCGCUUUCUCGACGAGUCCACGCCGGCCACGGCGCACCCUCUGGAGCAAGUGUCGCCACCGAACCUUGUAAUGGAUGGCCUCUCCACUCCUAUGUGUAUUGUAAGCGAUGGAGUUUUUUGGGACAAAAACUCCUGUUCAGCUGCUGUAGAGACACGACAGGCUGGGAGGCAUGAUCAAGUUUCUAAUUAGCUCUGUUGCUGGUGUCCCACAGCUCUGUUUCUGUUGAAAUGGUAGACGGGGUCCUUUUUUAUUUUUCUGGUGUUGCUGUAUUGUUCAAGAAAAAACCACUACCAGUUAUUCUUGGUUACGACUUCUUGGAGAUUCAGUUCUGUUAAAAAGAAUCAUGAAUGGAGAAGAACCAUCGUGUAAACGUCAGCAUCCAGUCAUAUCUAAGGGACGAGCUAUGGGGGGCAGAUCCAGGACAUGGGAUGCUAACCAUCUGCUUGGGAUGGGUUUCUUUCAAAUCAGUGAAUGGAUUGGAGCCAUUGAAGUAUUUGAAUGGAGCAUAUGUAUGCAUAUGCUGCACUUCAUCUUAGAUCAUCAAGAGAUGUCGGCUGCAGUAAUCUGCGUGCAGAAAACAAGGCACACCAGCAAAACAGAUAUAUUCUGGACAAACAAUCCAUACAAAAUAAUUAACUGAAAUAAUGUCACCUGAUGAUUUAUCUGCUAACAGGUAUAGCAGAUUUGGAGCUGGUAGCGUUGCGUAAGCACACAUCAAGUCAAACCGGACUUAAAUUGGUCAUAGCUUGGGAGGUGUGCCUUUAUGGCUUGCUUCCACGUGGAUUAGUAUUACUACUCAUCAAGAAACAAGAACCUAGGGGAGAAUGGAGCCCUCUCAGCGCUCAGGCACUCUCGACCGUCGGAUUGGCUUUUCAGUUUGUUCAAAUAAGAACGA